rnacentral:rRNA from 1 species
UACGAAGGGUGCAAGCGUUACUCGGCAUUACUGGGCGUAAAGCGUGCGUAGGUGGUUCGUUAAGUCUGAUGUGAAAGCCCCGGGCUCAACCUGGGAAUGGCAUUGGAAACUGGCUUGCUAGAGUGUGGCAGAGGGGGGUGGAAUUCCGCGUGUAGCAGUGAAAUGCGUAGAGAUGCGGAGGAACACCGAUGGCGAAGGCAGCCCCCUGGGCCAACACUGACGCUCAGGCACGAAAGCGUGGGGAGCAAACAGG